CUCCCGCGGCGCGAGCGAGCGAACGCAACAAAACAAAACAAACUCGUGCCGGCUUCCUGUUGUGCAACCACUUUCUGAGCCGGGUGUUGGAAGGAGGGUGGACUUUGGAAUCAGAAAACCUGGAAAUCUCAACUCCACUACUUACUCCAAAGACGAGAGGUUGUACCCUGGCCCAUUGAGGACUUCAGUCCUGCUACCUGAGGCUUUGUAAAGAGCAGGUCUCCAGCAGAAGGUGUGGCCCAGAUUAAAGGUGUGUACCACCACACCUGGAUCUGGGACUUGCUUUGUCCCAGAUGACCUUGAGCUCAGAGAUCUCCUUGCCUUAGUCUCCUGGGAUUCAUAGCCACUAUGCCUCAAGAUCUCCAGGCCAGGAUCCAGGUCAGAAACUUCUCUCUCUCAGUCUCAAGAUCUGGAUCACAGAGCCGAACAUUACCCCACUUUGGAGAGUUCAGUGCAUGCUGAUGACGAGUGGAUGUAUCACAAAUACACACCAGUGUAUGAAGAGACUUCUGUUGGAAGCUACCAAGUGUCACUGUAAGAAGAGGCACCAUCUUAUCCUGGUUGUUAUAUUAGUUCUCUACAGGUUCUGUGACAAAGUCUGAUAGACUGCUGACUUCAGACAACAGGAUACAUCUUCUUGCAGCUCAAGAGGCUGAUUUACUCCAAGGAUUUCUCAUGCCCUUUGGAGUCCUAUCCUGUCCCUAAUUAGUCUAGUAGAAACUCUGAAAUCCCACCUUUGUCUCAAUAUCUUAAAUCAGAACUCCCACAAAGGAAGACAUAUCCCAAAUCAAUAUCAUAGAACAGACAUGCCUUGCUAGAAGUCCUCUGUCACUCUUGAGACCUUUCACCCUCAAACCUGGUGUUCUGAGGCAAAGAUCGUGCUCUGACUCUCAGCAUCUGUUAUUGACUUCAACUUCGCUGUGGAAGACUCCCUCCAAUGGUUUAGUUGAGUACAAGACUACCCAGCUAAAGACAGGAUAUAAUAAUGUGUAAUAUAACAUACAUUCAUAUGUAAUAAAAAUUAUUCCUGUUUGCCUG
ensembl:lincRNA D930032P07Rik RIKEN cDNA D930032P07 gene